rnacentral:misc_RNA from 1 species
UCCGUGUUAACCACGGCAGUCUCUUUAGAGUGCCCAACUUAAUGCUGGCAACUAAAGACAAGGGUUGCGCUCGUUGCGGGACUUAACCCAACAUGUCACCACACGAGCUGACGACAGCCAUGCAGCACCUGUCACUCGGUCGUAUUGCUACGAAAACCCUAUUUCUAGGGCUGUCCGAGGAUGUCAAAUCCAGGUAAGGUUCUUCGCGUUGCUUCGAAUUAAACCACAUGAUCCACCGCUUGUGCGGGCCCCCGUCAAUUCCUUUGAGUUUUAGCCUUGCGGCCGUACUCCCCAGGCGGGGCGCUUAAUGCGUUAGCUACGGCACGGAACCCGUCGAUAGGGUCCCACACCUAGUGCCCAACGUUUACGGCGUGGACUAC